AAUACUAAAAAUAAUAAUAAAAGCUAAAUAGCAAAAUAAAAUAAAAAUAAGCAUAAAAAUAAAAUUAAUUAAUUAAUUUAAGAAAAUAAAAAUAUAGGGCAAAUGGGGGAAACUGACGGUGGUGCAAUGAUCAGAGUUUCUACGAGGGUGCGCGUGGUCAUGUUCGGCUGGCCGACACGAGUACGAACAACGAUGAAAAGGGGCUAGUCGCUGAGGGGAGAAGGAGAGUGGGUAAGGGGUGGUUAAGUUAGGUGAAACAAAGUGGGGGGUUAGGGAAAAAAAGGAGAGGGAGAAGAGCGAAGAGGGGACGGAUGGCUGCGUCAAAAGGAGGAAGAAAGGUCGGAGGUGGGGGAAGGGGGAAUAGAAAGGAAGGGGAAAGGAGAAAGAAGGAAGGAGAAAGGGGAAGGUUGGGAGCGGCUUGGUGGACGGUGGAGAGGUGGAAAAGAAAGAGGAAAGGGGAAGGGCUAAGACGACAAUUGAGGGGCUUAGAUGGUGAAUGGCGGUCAGCGGCGUCAGGUUGGUGGAGGAAAGAAGAAGAAGACAAAAUGAAAAGGAAAC
rnacentral:lncRNA from 1 species